GACCCUGGAAGAAGACCCCAGAAAACGAAGACAAAUUAAAGACGUCAUGACGUCAUCAUUACGUUCUGGUGGACAAUAUAAUCACGAUGAUGAUGAUGAUGAUAGUGAUUGAUGAUAGUCGGAUCAUUUUGCAAAGAUGUAGAAAAUAAAUAAUAUAAGUUUUAUAAAUGUUCGCAGCAUGUUUUGUAUUGUAAAUUUGCAUUCGUGUACACGCCCCUCGUGGGAACUAUGUGAUAGUUAUAUGCUACCGUGUUUAAAUAAAAGUCUAACACUCGUAUUCUAAAAGC
rnacentral:lncRNA from 1 species